ensembl:lncRNA
CAGUAAUUUAGCCGGUGGUGCCUACUUCCGGUACACCUCAAAUGUCAUCAAUGAGAAGCCGCUGGCUGAGUACCGGAGGAUGCUGGAGGGCUGAGGGAUGGCAGAGGUCGAGGCUACGUACGCCGACUUCAUCGCAUCGGGGCGCACAGGCCGGAGGAACGCCAUGCACGACAUCCUGCAGAGCCCCAGCGACCCGCAGGGGGGCCAGCUGCCCCUCAGCCUGUCCCUGUCCCAGCUGCACAUACACACUGCCCGCAGAGGUG